rnacentral:misc_RNA from 1 species
AGAAAAUAAGGAGUGUUUCUACUAAUUUACCCCUAAUUAAUUGCCUUGAAGAAAUAAAUUAUUCCUUAAUCCUAUAAAACAUCAUGUAUCAAAACAAGGGUUAUUCUGGAAGAGUUCGAUUAAUUCUAUCUCCUUUUUUUUCACACGGUGUUUGAAGCCCCAACUAUCUCCGAAUUGCACACUCUAGGGUCCAUUUGGGGGUGUCCUAAGCCUUGACUAACUUUGGAUCGCGCACUCUAGGGAUCAUUUGGGGGUGAAGCUCCAACCAUAUUAAGCAAUAGUCCCACCACUGCACCACAACCAUCCUUG